AAAUUCAUUCUUUUUGCGAGCAAUUAUAUCUAAGAUAUGUAUGAAAAACUAAUGCACUGUUAAAAAUGAAAUCAAUUACAGGAUAGUUAAGAAAUUGGAUGUAAAGGAGUACAUAGAAUAGGGGGUGGUAUAAAUAUGUAAAAUUCAAAUUAAUUUCCAUAGAUAGGUGGUAAUUAUAUAUUGGAACAAAUUGUAUAUUAGUAUGAUGGAAUGCCAUUGAUCCAACUUCCACCAUCUUCAUUCUUUUGUUAAAGGUUGAAAUGGUUCUCGAGAACCUUUCCUGCGUGCGUCCUUAGUCGAGUUCUCAAGCUUGAUCCUUGCCAGGAUUAUUACAGCAGUUUUUUAGUUUUGUGUUCCUCUUUUGCGUCAGUUGCAUGGGAUUCCCCGAGGAAACCUUUAAUGACCCGCCAUCGGUGGAGAUUCUUGAAACCGGCCAGAGUAAAGCUGAUUGCUUUCUCUUUGAUCAAGCUGAGGUUUACGAGACUCGAUAAGCAUGACUCUGCAGAAACACAGGAUUUCGGGGAAUGAUUCGAUAUUUUUCUCCUUUUCAGAGACCGAUUCCACGGUGAAUGGGUCCUCCUCGAUGACUGUAUGCAGUUAAUGUUGCGGAUAAGAUUCAGCGAAUGUGUUGUUUCUAAAAGGAUUAUUAAUUAUGUAUAAUUCGUGAAUAUUUAGCAUGAUAGCGCGUAUUGAUUUUGUAAAUCGUACGAGUGGAGUUCUCUUCCCACGCAUUGAAAUCACCGAGGCGAAUUCGAGCAUUCGCUUCUCCGUAAACAGAAUACGAUACAAUUUCAAAACGAAAUACCAGUUAGGAAGUACGAACGUAUUGUAUACUCGGGUGAAAUUGAAAUAGAAAUCGUAUCAAUGAUUUGCCAACAUUUGUUACUAAACUAUGUUUCUUAUCUUUUAUAGAUUUUCAUACACUCCGUGGUUGAUGGAGGCAUUUUUUUACAGCUGGCCUUUUUAAUAAUUAAUGUGUUAAUAGAAAAGGAAACUGGUGUACCUUGCACUUGCGUCAUGCGCUUAAUAACAUCUAAUUACUGUAAAUGGGUUUAUGAAGUUGCAAAGAUUAUACGUAACAAUUAUUCAAAUUAAAUACGAGGAAAUAAAGAUCACGUAUCAAGUGGAAUUGGAAUGAAAACAUUUAUUUCGUCAAAUAAAUGGACUAUCCGUGUAUAUUUAGAUGUUGGUGAAGAUGCAAUUCAUACUUGUUAUUGAUGCUUCAUUUCAAUAUUCUAAUGACAAACGACGACAAAACCUUGCAGUUAUAGAUGAACAUCGAGCCACUGAAUAUCGGCGUUACUUUGUACCUGAGUCGAGAAAGCCAUACGUAUUAACGAGAUGCAUAAACACGGUUAUUUCGAAGAAUCGCUCACUAAUGUCGCCUCUGCAAUAAUAGUUCUGGAAAGUAAGAUAUCAUCAGAUCGUCUGAUCGAUUCGUUAAAAAUUUACAUUCGAAUAAGCGAUUAAUAUUUGCGUUACAACAUACCUUUUUAUUGAGGCAAUAUAGAUAAAUCAAUAUCUGAGAUUUUAAGGUUUUGUGUACCAUAACCAUUUCCAAUUAAUGAA